GUAGGGAAUCUUCCACAAUGGGUGAAAACCUGAUGGAGCAAUGCCGCGUGAAUGAAGAAGGUCUUCGGAUCGUAAAGUUCUGUUAUUAGAGAAGAACAAGUCAAGGAGUAACUGUCUUGACUUUGACGGUACCUAACCAGAAAGUCACGGCUAACUACGUGCCAGCAGCCGCGGUAAUACGUAGGUGACAAGCGUUGUCCGGAAUUAUUGGGCGUAAAGGGAGCGCAGGCGGUUGGAAUAGUCUGAUGUGAAAGCCCACGGCUUAACCGUGGAAGGUCAUUGGAAACUGUCCAACUUGAAUACAGAAGAGGUAAGUGGAAUUCCAAGUGUAGCGGUGAAAUGCGUAGAUAUUUGGAGGAACACCAGUGGCGAAGGCGACUUACUGGUCUGUAAUUGACGCUGAGGCUCGAAAGCGUGGGUAGCAAACAGGAUUAGAAACCCGAGUAGUCC
rnacentral:rRNA from 1 species